GACGUAGGUGGCAAGCGUUGUCCGGAAGUAUUGGGCGUAAAGCGCGCGCAGGCGGUCCUUUAAGGCUGAUGUGAAAGCACACGGCUCAACCGUGGAGGGUCAUUGGAAACUGGAGGACUUGAGUACAGAAGAGGAAAGUGGAAUUCCUUGUGUAGCGGUGAAAUGCGUAGAGAUGUGGAGGAACACCAGUGGCGAAGGCGACUUUCUGGUCUGUAACUGACGCUGAGGCGCGAAAGCGUGGGGAGCAAACAGG
rnacentral:misc_RNA from 1 species